AAUCAACGCUGGCGGCGUGCCUCAGACAUGCAAGUCGAACGAUUAAAGCUCUCUUCGGAGAGUGCAUAGAGUGGCGCACGGGUGAGUAACACGUAAGUAAUCUACCUUCGAGUGGGGAAUAACGUCCGGAAACGGACGCUAAUACCGCAUAAUGCAGCGGCAUCGUAAGAUGACAGUUGUUAAAGAUUUAUCGCUUGAAGAGGAGCUUGCGGCAGAUUAGCUAGUUGGUAAGGUAAUGGCUUACCAAGGCUACGAUCUGUAACCGGUCUUAGAGGACGGUCGGUCACACUGACACUGAAUAACGGGUCAGACUCCUACGGGAGGCAGCAGUCGGGAAUUUUGGGCAGUGGGCGAAAGCCUGACCCAGCAACGCCGCGUGAAGGAUGAAGGCCUUAGGGUUGUAAAGCACUUUUGUCCGGGAAGAUAAUGACUGUACCGGAAGAAUAAGCCCCGGCUAACUUCGUGCCAGCAGCCGCGGUAAU
rnacentral:rRNA from 1 species